rnacentral:lncRNA from 1 species
CCCCGGGUGACUUGGGGGCGACUAGGGUUCCGCCGCCGCCACCACCCCUCCAACCCUCUCCUCCUCCCUCGCCGCCACUGGAGACGGCCACCAGGACUGCUAGCGCAGGCGCCGAUCAAGGUGGCGGCGGGGAGUGCGGCACUUCAUCCCUCUCGAAGGCCAUUGGUACCUGGAGCGGCGGCCCCUGCCGGCGAGGACGCCUCGUAUUGCGACCGCCGGCGUUCGCAGGCGGUGUGCUGGCCGGCGUACUCGGCCGUGAGGGCGGUGGGCCAUUGGUGGACUUUUGGUCGCGGUGCAGAUCUCAUCUGCGUCAGAUCUGGAGGUACGAGAUCCCACCUCCCUGUUGCCUCUCUCGCUCUGUACGCCGUGGAGUGCGAUUCGCUCGUUGGCUCCGGUGUUGGUGAGCAUGGUGGAGUAGCUUGCGGCCUGGGGGAAACCCUGGCCGGCUUGGCCGGCCCGACGGGGGCGACGCCCAAGGGCGCCACUUUCUUCCAUGGGGCGCUGCUGAGGUCCCAACUCUCCACCCCGACCUCCUGCCAGGGUGAAAACCCACAAUCCCCUGCGGAUUUGGCGGCGGCGGCGCCUUGCGCGUCGUGAACUUCCUGAAGUCAUCGUCAGUGGUGUAGGGGCUCUGAUGGGAUGAUGUGUAGGCGCAGGAUUGAUGUUGCUUGUGUCUCGAGAUUGUGUGGAUGCGGUGUGGGUUGUAGGCACCGUCGCCUCUUCUGGUUGGUGCUCUCCGGUGGCGGUGAAUGCCUCUCGGCCCUGGUGACGCGGCUUCUCGAUCCUGACGGUAGGGGAUAGGGUUCGCCUUCCCGGUGGUUGUGGCUUCAUGUAAACCAGAGAGACCUGGGUCUUCUCAAUGGUGGUGCUUUGCUGCCUUGCCUCUCGCAUUUUUGCUUGGUUCCCUGCUGCCUCCUCUUCAGCGUCUGACUCCAUGAAGCUUUCCUUCUCCGACUAGUUGGGUGUGGUUAGUGGCGGUGUUGCCGACAUGGCUUAUCCCAAAUCGAGGUGGUCGCCCUAGGUCCAUCGUGCGAUGUGAGGGUGGCAUCCUUCUAGUUCUCAGGUGAGCUUCUCUAAAUCUUGACACUACGUCAGCUACAAGCCAUGGCGAGGGGGUAGGGUCCCUCUUCGGUGACAGAUAAGGAAGGUGUUAUUUUCCCUCCUUCCCUAGGUGCUCCUGGAGCAAUGUCCAUCUUCGCGUCCGACUUUCUCAUGCCCUGCUGCUCUGUCCUUGAUUUGUAGGAUACUAGUGUGGAGUACUCUGCUUCUAGCAAGAUGUAAUCUUCAUUUUCCUUUCUUAGGUUAGAUUGUGUAGGCCGUGCUUUUGGUUUGCUUCCCAGCGUUCCCCUUUGUAUGCGUUUGGUCGUCGUUCUCUGGGUCUUAUGAUCUAACUCCUGGCCGGUUGAUGGCUUUGUUAAUUCAAAGCCGGGCUCUUCACGAGCCUUCGUUCCAAAAAUAUUGGUUCUUUGGGUCUAUCUUCAAGCAUUCCCAGUUUCUUCUUCGGCCAUGAUGGCACACGUCAGAGCAUCGCUCACAUCAAGAUCUAUACUUCCACACCUACCUCUAUUUUCAAUUUGCAGUAUCGAAUCAAUGCUAGUUUCUCCAUAAGAUCAAUUUCUUGUUCUACUCCAUGGUCCAUCUCAAACCAUCGCUUCUAGUGAGAUAUAAAAUUUGAGUUCUACCACUUGAUCUAUUUGGAAGACAGCUACUGGUGUUUACAUAAGAUCUACACUUCGUCCUACUUCAAGAUCCAUGUCAAAGCAUCGCCCACGAGAGAUUUACUCUGACUCCGGAAGUCUUAUAGCUUUGUUUUUGGCGAGAUCCAUACUUUACUCUCUGCCAUGAUCUUCUGGAAGCAUCACUACCGUGAUAUCUAUACUUUGAGCAAUACCUUCCCAUCUUACUUGGGGAUCUAUGGAUCCUUAUUUAUGGUAAUUGUGCAUUAUUUUUGGUGGAUAUUUGGAUGGAUCUAAUCAAUUGAGAGGUGGUUGUGCUUUUGUCUUAUUCUCCACUAAGUCACGAAAUUAAUCCUUACCUGUAGUAUCAUACCAUACUUGUUAAACAUAUUCAUAACAAAAAGGCUGGUUCUUCUCUAGCUUAUAAAGCCAAGCUUGCAUUCACAUCACUACCUUUCGCUAGAGCACAUGAGAUACCCGAAAUACACACCAUUAUUUUUAGGGAAGUGAAAUGCAUUUUUCCAUUAUAUGUAAACAGUGUUAGUGGCAUAUAAUAUCAUGUGUUUAGAACCACGGACAUACUAUAAAGAAGGUUUCAAUCAUAAAGAUUACUUUCUUAUAGUGACUCAGGCUUGAAACAAGAAUGAUGGUGCACGUUUGCUCUUAGGCACUACCACAUUGGAGCACCUUAUCGCUAGAGAUGUCAAUGUAGUACAUUUUACCCUAAAACACACGUACUUGUUCCUAUCCUUUUCUUUUUCUGUGCUGCUUGUCUGAGAAAGCACGCACACAUAUUUCUAGUGGAUUGUCUCUAGUAUUAAUGAUGAGUAUGGACGGCAUAGCGAGGCGGAAGGGCAUACGUUACCUGUGGAGAGAGAGCAUGGCCGCGCUGAGGCUGGGAGCACCGGCGCCGCAUGGUGGCAUCAGCUUGGCUGCUUCCACCCUCACAGCCUUGUGGUUCCAGUACUUGAGGGACGACCGGUGGCGCACCUCGGCGUGGUCAUCUCCGCUUCGAGUGCGGGAUUAUGCGCGGGCGGCCUUCAUAUGGCCCUAUUGGAUGGCACGGGUGCGUCUAGCCCUGUGAUGCCGUUGCCGCCGCAACAGCCGAAGUUGGGUGCCUGGAAGGUGUGCAUGGCAACGUUGUAGAGAUGGUGGCUCACGAGGGCAGAGGGUGAGCACACCGCUACCGACAGGUGUGGGACGUGACCCAAUGGCUUGUGCUGCUCGAGCAAGGUGCGGGUGAUGCCAGUAGCGCGAGGCCUGGGGGAGAGUGGGAGGGGAGCGUGUGUUGGCUUACCUGCGUGAUUGGAGUGAAACGACAAUGAAGGAGACAACAAAGAGGCUACUACAUGGGAGAUGCUGAUCCGAUGCGAGGCUCCUCCUCAGUCUAUGCACUUGCAGUUGUUGUUCGGGACAUCGUGUCACCUAGCCACUCCAUACCCAGACUGGAGGCAAUGGACAUGAAUCACAUGAUGAGGUAGCCGAAAUCCCACUCUGGCGUGGUUUUGCUCUCGGUAUUCUUAGUUCUUGCCGUGUCAUGUUUUCUGAGAUAUAGUACAAAUUUACCUUUUCGUUUCCUUUCGUUUGGUGUGCUUAAAUGUUUUGCGGCAAGUCGGCCAAUUGGAGCAGGGCCUAUCAGGUUACUGGUCUCUUUGCUGGAUUUUGCCAAUUUGGGCCAGCCAACCAAACUAGCAAAUGUUGGCAAAAUACGGAAACAAGAACAGAUCAGAAGACGCUGUCAGGUACCAGAUAGGCCCUGCUCCAAUCGUCCGGCUUGUUGCAAAAUACACACGCACACCGAAAGAAAGAAAACCAAAAUAAAAUAAAAUUCUAACUCGACCGCACAUAACACGACACGGGAAGAAGUAAGAAAGCCGAGAGCAAAAUCAUGUGAGAGGGGGAUUUUGGCCACCUCAUCUUUUUUUGAGAGUUAUUUUGGCCACCUCAUCAUGUGGUUCAUGUCCAUUGUCGCCAGGCUGGGUUCGGAGGGGCUGGGAGACGCAACGCCCCGAGCAGCAACUCUGAAUGCCUCAACUGAGAGGAGCCUUUCAUCGGAGCAAUGUAUCUCAUGUAGCAUCCUCCUCCUUGCCUCCUUCUUGGCUGCCAUUUCACUCUGAUCAUGCACGCGAGUCAACACACACUCCCUCACACUCUUUGCAUAUGCCUCGCGCUGACGGCAUUGCCUGCACCUCGCUCGAGAAGUUCAAGCCUUUGGGUCGCACUCCUCCCCCGCCGGCAGUUGUGCUCACCCUCUGCGCCCGUGAGUCACUUGCUCUACAACGUUGCCACGCACACCUUUCAGGGAUCCAACAUUAGCAGUUGCGGCGGCAACAACAUCGCAGGGCUAGAUGCACCCGUGCCGCUCUAGCGAGGCCAUAGGAAGCACUCCCACAGCUACCGCGAGCCGCCAGCGCACACUCCCGCUCCCGAAUUGAAGUUGGUCCUCGACACGGUACAUGAACCACAAGGUGGUGUGGGAAGAUGCAUCAAAGAUGAUGUCUCCAUCAGGCGCCGGUGGUCCCAGCGUCAGGGUGGCCACACUCUGGCUCCACUGGUACACAAGUCCCUUCUCCUCACUAUACCAUCCGUAAUGAUCAUUACUACUUGCGUGUAUUGUCAUAGGUCUCUACUGGUUCUUGUCACAUGCAGUUCUAUGACUCAGUUACACUUUUUUGGACUCACCCAACACAUUAAGCAUGUAUUUUUCCAUGCCAGCAGUGACAUACAUCCAUCACAUUAAGCAUCAAUGCAUCACACUAAACAAUGCCAUUAAUAGUUCUCAUUGUCCUUGUUCUCAUUUACCUUUAGUAUGUCUACACAUACGGAUAUGAUCUUCAUAACCAUCUACUGGACAUGCAUGCUAGAUACAUAGAAAUAUACUGCUUAGUUGUUAGUAACCCACAUAGACAAUGACAUCGUCGGUGCGAGGCUGCUCCGUGGAUCGAGUUCUCGUCAUGCCGUUGUCCUUGUUGUGUAAUACUAUUUUUGCUAAGAUGGUUUCCAUGAUGGCGAUAAAAUCCGUAGAGGAGACUCACACCAAUGUCGGCGAGAAGCAGCCAAAGAAGGAGAAGCAACAGCUUAGGUAGUAGCCGCAGUGUCUGGUGCAGGUCCAGAGGCGGAGAAGCUGACCACCAACAAGGUGUGUCGUCAGGUCUCCCUCAAGAUCAAAAACCACGCGGUGGCAAAGGCGUCGACACGCAGGCAGAGACAGAGAAACUGAUGUUGCCACCAAGCACCCACGGUCCCAACUUCCAUGGCACCCCGCCCAUCCGUCCUCGUGCCGCAGCCCUCUAACUCUACAGGUGAGCACUCCCCGCGGACUUAUAGUAUUGUACACAUCGGUGAUCAUUCACAUUGGAUACAUUUUCAAAGUUAAAAGAAGUGUUCAAAGGUCACCAUGGGAUGAGCCCUUCCUUCACGGUUGUCUCGGUACGGUCAGUCCGGUUAGAGCCAUUGCCUGUGGGAUCGGAUCACGUCUAGUCCAGUCAGGUCUAGUCAGCAUCAGCUUAAGUUGUCAGGGCGUCCGCCCAAUCUUUAUAAAUGGAAGUGUGUUUCUCUACACUACGAGAUACUAGAGCUAAAUGUAUAGACAAUGCUUGAACUUGCUGUCUAUAUUCACUUUCGUGCCCUAGUUGCAUAAUACCAAAAACUGGUGCAAAAAAUUGGCUAAUGCAUUCAAUUUGGAGUACUCGCCUUCUAAGACGUUAUCUGUCGAUGUGAACUGAUAUUCCUUUGUAGGCUAACAAGUGGGGGGCGCAUAUAAGAGGAGGGCGGAGAGAGCGAGCGUCACUCAAUUACAGUGUUGUCAGUUACACUUUUGGACUCAACCAACACAUUGAUCAUUUUUCCUCAAUUACCUAAACCUACACAUGCACCUCGGGUUGUUAACAUAUAUGUGAGUCAUUUGGACUCAGCAAGUAAAUUACCAAGGAUACUAAACUAACAAUGCUUAUGGGUUGGAUGUGGAUAAGGUGGUGAGGUUGCACCAAGCAAUAUAAACCAACUAUUCCUAUAUCUAGCGCAUUGAGGAAGGCAUCGAUUGAUCACAAACUGCGUUGCGGUGGCCACCCUCCCCCUUUCUACUGUUCUUCUCCACCAAAAAGUCUCAAACUCUAGUGGCUUCUAUGAAAUCAAUGUGUGUUGAGGUCAAUUGAGAGGAACAUAAGCUCAAAUUGUUAAUAAGUAGUAUCUGACUCGACCGCACAUAACACGACACGGGAAGAAGUAAGAAAGCCGACAGCAAAAUCAUGUGAGAGGGGGAUUUUGGCCACCUCAUCAUGUGGUUCAUGUCCAUUGUCGCCAGGCUGGGUUCGGAGGGGCUAGGAGACGUGACGCCCCGAGCAGCAAACUGUGAAUGCCUCAACUGAGAGGAGCCUUUCAUCGGACCAAUGUAUCUCAUGUAGCAUCCUCCUCCUUGCCUCCUUCUUGGCUGCCAUUUCACUCUCAUCAUGCAUGUGAGUCAACACACACUCCCUCACACUCUUUGCAUAUGCCUCGCGCUGACGGCAUUGCCUACACCUCGCUCGAGAAGUUCAAGCCUUUGGGUCGCACUCCUCCCCCGCCGGCAGUUGUGCUCACCCUCUGCGCCCGUGAGUCACUUGCUCUACAACGUUGCCACACACACCUUUCAGGGAUCCAACAUCAGCAGUUGUGGCGGCAACAACAUCGCAGGUCUAGAUGCACCCGUGCCGCUCCAGCGAGGCCAUAGGAAGCACUCCCACAGCUACCGCAAUCUGCCAGCGCACACUCCUGCUCCCGAGUCGAAGUUGGUCCUCGACAAGGUACAUGAACCACAAGAUGGUGUGGGAAGAUGUGGCAAAGAUGAUGUCUCCAUCAGGCGCCGGUGGUCCCAGCGUCAGGGUGGCCACACUCUGGCUCCACUGGUACACAAGUCCAUUCUCCUCACUAUACCAUCCGUAAUGAUCAUUACUACUCGUGUGUAUUGUCGUAGGUCUAUACUGGUUCUUGUGACAUGCAGUUCUAUGACUCAGUUACACUUUUUUGGACUCACCCAAGACAUUAAGCAUGUUUUUUUCCAUGCCAGGACUGACAUCCAUCCAUCACAUUAAGCAUUAAUGCAUCACACUAAACAAUGCCAUUAAUAGUUCUCAUUGUCCUUGUUCUCAUUUACCUCUAGUAUGUCUACACAUACGGAUAUGAUCUUCAUAACCAUCUACUGGACAUGCAUGCUAGAUACAUAGAAAUAUACUGUUUAGUUGUUAGUAACCCACAUAGACAAUGACAUCGUCUGUGUGAGGCUGCACCGUGGAUCUAGUUCUCGUCAUGCCGUUGUCCUUGUUGUGUAAUACUAUUGUUGCUCAGAUGGUUUCCAUGAUGGCGAAAAAAUCCGUGGAGGAGACUCGCACCAAUGUCGGCGAGAAGCACACUACAAGAGAUCAGGCCUACUGUGAUGAGCCAAAAUAUGUCAUUGAAUUGCUAAUAACGUCACAAUUUACCCGUGGGUGACGUUUUAUGGGUGUCACACGCAUCGUCACAGAAUCCCCGUCACAGAUUACUCCUAGUGAUGGCGCGCGCAAAAUAAUGUCACCGAAUAUGGGACCUUCGGUGACGUUUCCUAGAAUGUCAACAACUUGCUAUUUCUAUGACGGGCAAUUAAUGUCACGUGUUAGGAGCAAAUAUGCCAUAUUAUACCAUAUUCAGCAAAUAUGCCAUAUUAUAACAUAUUCAGUGACAGCACAUCAACACCCGCAAAUAUAUUCCCACUACUAGCAUCACUACUUUCAUUAUUGAUGAAGACGACAUCAUUAAAUUUCAAAUAAUUUGCAAUGAAUUAUCGAAUCCACUAUAUUGCAAAUGCAUAUCACAAAGUAUUUAAUUCACAUCACAUCACACUAUACAAAUAAGUUAAGAGCCAAAUUGCAUUAUAAGUUGGAAUUAAAGACAAAUCAUAGUAUUAUUUAUUCCAUCUGUCAGCCAAAUCAUCUUCUAAAUACAAAAUGACAAAAAAAAUAUCACAGACUCAAGUUUGACACGAGAAUAAAUAAGACGAAAAGUAAUAUUUACAUAACUAAAAGACCACUUAUGUUGUCCUGAUGACUGCAAUGUAUGAUUAAAUAACUAUCUUUCUUUCACAAAAUGAUGGCCUUCAUGCACCAUCAGGUUGGACUGAUUUGCUUGCUGAGUUGCUUGAGCCCUUAAAAGAAAUCCAAUCAGGUUAUCCAUCUCAUGUUGCUUCUUUUGCCAGGCUUAUUCUUCUCUUGUUGGCUCUUCUUUGCAUCUCUUCAAAUUCUCUAUCUUGUGCUUCAUGUCUCGCGGCUAAAUCCUCCUGGUGCCUAUAAAUUGAUGAAACAUAACAACAUGUUGCACCUUAAUGAGAUGAAAACAUAUAGAUAACAAGGUAUAAGAGUACCACUAAGAAACUUAUAAUCUAUCGAAUUAUGAAUCUAAGUACAUUAUUAACAAGAUUUGCGGGUAUGUGGAUGGGUCAAUAAAACAUUAAGUUAGGUUAGCGGAACAAGAAGACACAAACUUGUAUAAAACAUUGUCAGUCAAAAUAUUUUACAUAGAUCACUGUUGCACUUUUAACUAGUGUGCCACUUAUAGUUUAAGUAGCAUCCGAAUGACUAGUGAGGGCACUACGGCAGCAGAUGGUAAUGCACUAUAGUGAUCUACUGAAGAUAUUUCAUAGUUAGUUGCAUAAGUAUAGUUGUUUGACGCUUUGGUUACUACAGAAGUUUAGAUCAGCACAUCACAAAAAAAUAGAUUAGUAAUGUACUACAAAAUCACAGAGCAAAACACAAAAAUGUUUCUUUAGUAAGGAGUGACAUCCAUUCGAUAUAUUGAACAGUCUCAAAACGAUGCAAUAUCCAAAGGUCAUCACCCAACCAUAGUAGGCAACCUUAUUGUUAUUAAGUGUGUGUUUUCUCAUCUCUGAAUUGAUUCAAACAUGCUAUGAAUUUGGUAGAUCAUCACCAUAUGUACAACUAAGUGCCAUAAGCAACUAGAACUAGUACUGUAAACUACACUAUUUGAAUCGGUUGUGUGCUUACACAUCUUCUUCUGCAGCUACAGCUAAUUGUGUACUCGCACUGCUGUUGUACGAUGCUUCCUCAAUCUAAAUAUAAGAAAUAAAAAUUUAAGUUAUGGGCAAAGGAAGUACACGAUGAGCUUAAAUGUUAGGCGUACACAACCAGCUGGUAAGGAAUUAUCCAGUAUUGCAUUGUAUGCAAAUAGAAAGUGGAGAAGCAAGUAGUAAAAAGAACAAGCUUCAGACUGUACCAACAUAGCAAGGCCGAUAAGAUUAUCUUAAUAUUGCAAACCCAAUCUUCUACCUACAGUAAGCGUCGACUAAUGCACCUACGUUUACGGAAUAAAACAGAGAAGACAAAAAAUUUACUGACAAGUGUUCACAUGGAGAAAAAAUAUUACAGAAUACCAAAAUCAUCUUCUCUUUCACCGAGCAGUAUUAGCCCAUGAUAGGAGCCCUCAACAUAUCUUUAGCUUGUUAACUUUUAUCACAGAAUAUUAAUUUAUUGUCCAUAACUACUAAUAGAAGGCAAUUCCUAGUACAGUUUCAUUGUUAAAUGUUAAUACUCUGAACGUAGAGUCUAGUCACAUAUUAAAUGUUCUGGAGACUGCAUGAUCUUGCAGCUUAAAGGGGAAACAUGACUUGAAAUUAUUCAUUUUAGAAAUUUAGAGACAGGGAGGAACAUAUACGUAUAAACCAUACCUUUGAGAAGAGCAAAGGGCAUUGAUCUUACUCCUUAUCUAGAUGAACUGCAACUAGGAAAAGGAGAUCUUAAAUAGGUGGUUAGAACAAUCAAAUUACAGAUCACAAAUCUUACAUCCAGAAAUUAUGGAAGAAAUAAGGAAGCAGCGAAAUAUACCCUCGAAUAGUUGGAAGGGGACCAGAUCUAAUGGUAUUGCAGCGGGGUUCCUUGCAGAGUUUCUCACCCAUCCCCUAGCCUCACUGCAUCAUCGGGUUGCCUCUUCCAAACCUGUUGUCUCCAGCCGCCGCCAUCUUGUUGGUCACUGGACGAAACCAAACUUCUAAAUCAGCAUCUAAUCUCAAGUAGUGGCUGAUGGAGGGGUGGUGAGGAAACGUCCAGAUCUUGGUAAAGCACGAGGUAGGAAAGGAAGCUGGGGAAGGCGCUGGAGUGGGCGAUGGUGAGGAUGAGGCGAGCGGCUAUGAUGUUGCGUGUAGAGGCUGGCGACUUCGAUGUCGCGGGUUGGCGGAUCCGAUCUUGGCCGGCGAGGCGUGGCGGCCGUUCCUUGUGGAGAGCGAGCGCGGCGGCCGGGGCUUGAUGGGAGGGCGGGCGAGCAGCCGUCAUUGGAGAAGGAUUACGCGGCUGGUGCCGCAGGGUGCGCCGGGCGGCGUGAUCCUCAAAUCUCGCCGCUAGAUGCAGUCGUGGGGUAGAGGGGGUGGAGAUGGGGAUAGAAAUUGGAGGGAGUUGGUUCCGCGCAGCUGAAAAAAUAAGGGCGUAAUUAAUUGGAUGCGGCAAAAAUUUAGGAAAGUGGAGCGAAAAGUGUUUUUUAGUGGAAAGGGAAUGGUUUAUUUUCGAGUUAAAUACAGCAGUAUGUAAAUGAGAUGGCAAAUGAUUUAAACAGCGGUGUAACUCGUACAAAAACAUUAUGAUGUGGUUUGUUCCAUGCAAUUUUUUUUGGAAGAACUCUACCUAAAUAUAUGUGCAAAGUUGUACAUAGCGACCUUAUAAUUAUGAAAAUAAAAAAACAAAAUAAGUACUUCAAAGUGGAACAAGGACUGAUUGUUUUCAAAUAGUAAUGUUAUAAGAGUCUGUACUCAAAGAUGUGAACUUAUAGAGACAUUUGUAUGACAAGUAUAUAGGCCAAUGCUGAAAUAUAUCAGAUAAAUGGCCUGAAAUUCAUCAAAUGUGAAAUUUUGAGAUAAAACGAAAAAAGAGCCAUAUGCAUCAUCUCAGGAACAUCCAUACCAAAAAAAUUCAUCCACUCUUAUUUCCAUUUUCUUGAGAUAGAACGAAACAACUAUAGCGCCAUGGGCACCAGUUCACGAAAACACAAAAUAACUUUCGUCCCCACCACUAUUUACUUCCAUUAGACAAAAUAAAAUAAGUUAAGUGUUCAAAAACAUAUGAAGAAACUCAGGCGAGUCCCAUUACAAACACCGUCACGUGGGUCCUACCACUCAAUAACUCGUGACGCGGUUGUGGUAGGCCCCACUGCUAGACAUUACAUGACGAAAUAAAGAACGGCACACAUUCGUUAAUAUUCGUGACUCUAGUAGACCCAUCAUGAAAAUUACCGAACCGUCACAGAAAUUGGUAGCCAGGUGAGGCUCAACGGCUGUGUGAUUCAGUGACAUUAAACGUCACCGAUUUGCUAUAAUAAGUGACGCCACUUACAAAAUGUCACAUAUUAGGAAUUUCUGUGAUGUUCUCAACCAUCGUCAUCAGGAUUUUCGUCACGGUAUCUUAAUUUUCUUGUAGUGGCAGCCAAAGAAGGAGCAACAGCAGCUUAGGUAAUAGCCGCAGUGUCUGGUGCAGGUCCAGAGGCAGAGAAGCUGACCACCAACAAGGUGUGUCGUCAGGUCUCCCUCAAGAUCAAGAACCACGCGGUGGCAAAGGCGUCGACACGCAGGCAGAGACGGAGAAACUGAUGCUGCCACCGAGCACCCACGGUCCCAACUUCCAUGGAACCCCGCCCAUUGAUACGUCUCCAACGUAUCUAUAAUUUAUGAAGUAUUCAUGCUAUUAUAUUAUCUAUUUUCGAUGUUUAUGGGCUUUACUAAACACUUUUAUAUUAUUUUUUGGGACUAACCUAUUAACCGGAGGCCCGGCCCAAAUUGCUGUUUUCAUGCCUAUUUCAGUGUUUCGAAGAAAAGGAAUAUCAAACGGAGUCCAAAUGGAAUGAAACCUUCAUCAUCCCGACGCUAUCCAUGACGAGGAGGGAGUAGUUCACCCUCGGGGCUGAGGGUAUGUACCAGUAGCUAUGUGUUUGAUCACUCUCUCUCGUGUUCUUGAGGUGGUACGAUCUUGAUGUACCGCGAGCUUUGCUAUUAUAAUUGGAUCUUAUGAUGUUUCUCGCCCUCUACUCUCUUGUAAUGGAUUGAGUUUUCCCUUUGAAGUUAUCUUAUCGAAUUGAGUCUUUAAGGAUUUGAGAACACUUGAUGUAUGUCUUGCAUGUGCUUAUCUGUGGUGACAAUGGGAUAUCACGUGAUUCACU